rnacentral:rRNA from 1 species
GGUGAAAAGCACCCCGGAAGGGGAGUGAAAUAGAACCUGAAACCGUGUGCUUACAAGUAGUCAGAGCCCGUUAAUGGGUGAUGGCGUGCCUUUUGUAGAAUGAACCGGCGAGUUACGAUUUGAUGCAAGGUUAAGCAGUAAAUGUGGAGCCGUAGCGAAAGCGAGUCUGAAUAGGGCGUUUAGUAUUUGGUCGUAGACCCGAAACCAGGUGAUCUACCCUUGGUCAGGUUGAAGUUCAGGUAACACUGAAUGGAGGACCGAACCGACUUACGUUGAAAAGUGAGCGGAUGAACUGAGGGUAGCGGAGAAAUUCCAAUCGAACCUGGAGAUAGCUGGUUCUCUCCGAAAUAGCUUUAGGGCUAGCCUCAAGUGAUGAUUAUUGGAGGUAGAGCACUGU